GAGGAUCCGAGCGUUAUCCGGAUUUAUUGGGUUUAAAGGGAGCGUAGAUGGGUUGUUAAGUCAGUUGUGAAAGUUUGCGGCUCAACCGUAAAAUUGCAAUUGAUACUGGCGGCCUUGAGUACAGUUGAGGUAGGCGGAAUUCGUGGUGUAGCGGUGAAAUGCUUAGAUAUCACGAAGAACUCCGAUUGCGAAGGCAGCUUACUAAACUGCCACUGACAUUGAUGCUCGAAAGUGUGGGUAUCAAA
rnacentral:rRNA from 1 species